rnacentral:rRNA from 1 species
AUUGAACGCUGGCGGCAGGCCUAACACAUGCAAGUCGAACGAGCGGCGGACGGGUGAGUAAUGUAUGGGAAUCUGGCUUAUGGAGGGGGAUAACGACGAGAAACGGUCGCUAAUACCGCGUACCAUCGGAUGAGCCAAUGUGGGAUUAGGUAGUGGGUGGGGUAAUGGUAUACCAAGGCGACGAUGCCUAGCUGGUCUGAGAGGAUGAUCAGCCAACCGGGGACUGAGACACGGCCCGGACUCCUACGGGAGGCAGCAGUGGGGAAUAUUGCGAAAUGGGCGCAAGCCUGAUGCAGCCAUGCCGCGUGAAUGAAGAAGGCUUUCGGGUUGUAAAGUUCUUUCGGUGAGGAGGCGUUACCUACAGAAGAAGCACCGGCUAACUCCGUGCCAGCAGCCGCGGUAAUAC